rnacentral:rRNA from 1 species
AUGCACGCUGGCGGCGUGCCUAAUACCUGCCAGUCGAGCGAACAGAUGAGGAGCUUGCUCCUCUGACGUUAGCGGCGGACGGGUGAGUAACACGUGGAUAACCUACCUAUAAGACUGGGAUAACUUCGGGAAACCGGAGCUAAUACCGGAUAAUAUAUUGAACCGCAUGGUUCAAUAGUGAAAGACGGUUUUGCUGUCACUUAUAGAUGGAUCCGCGCCGCAUUAGCUAGUUGGUAAGGUAACGGCUUACCAAGGCAACGAUGCGUAGCCGACCUGAGAGGGUGAUCGGCCACACUGGAACUGAGACACGGUCCAGACUCCUACGGGAGGCAGCAGUAGGGAAUCUUCCGCAAUGGGCGAAAGCCUGACGGAGCAACGCCGCGUGAGUGAUGAAGGUCUUCGGAUCGUAAAACUCUGUUAUUAGGGAAGAACAAAUGUGUAAGUAACUAUGCACGUCUUGACGGUACCUAAUCAGAAAGCCACGGCUAACUACGUG